AGCCGAAACGCCCGUCAGGGCGUCCACCGCGGGACGGUCUCCCGGUGCUGAUGAGGCAGACCAGA
rnacentral:hammerhead_ribozyme from 2 species